rnacentral:rRNA from 1 species
AAUCAACGCUGGCGGCGUGCCUAACACAUGCAAGUCGAACGAGAAAGGGGGCUUCGGUCCCUGAGUACAGUGGCGCACGGGUGAGUAACACGUGACUUAUCUACCCUCGAGUGGGGAAUAACUUCGGGAAACCGAGGCUAAUACCGCAUAAUACCCACGGGUCAAAGGAGCAAUUCGCUUGAGGAGGAGGUCGCGGCCCGAUUAGUUAGUUGGCGGGGUAAUGGCCCCCACCAAGACGGUGAUCGGUAUCCGGCCUGAGAGGGCGCACGGACACACUGGAACUGAAACACGGUCCAGACUCCUACGGGAGGCAGCAGUGGGGAAUUUUGCGCAAUGGGGGAAACCCUGACGCAGCAACGCCGCGUGGAGGAUGAAGUCUCUUGGGACGUAAACUCCUUUCGAUCGGGACGAUUAUGACGGUACCGGAAGAAGAAGCCCCGGCUAACUUCGUG